rnacentral:other from 15 species
GUUCACUGCCGCAUAGGCAGCUUAGAAA